rnacentral:rRNA from 1 species
UUGCGACCCCAGGUCAGG